ACUCAAAGGAAUAGACGGGGGCCCGCACAAGCGGUGGAGCAUGUGGUUCAAUUCGACGCAACGCGAAGAACCUUACCUGGGCUCGAACGGCUUUGGAUCGACGGUGGAAACACUGUUUUCCCGCAAGGGACCGGAGUCGAGGUGCUGCAUGGCUGUCGUCAGCUCGUGUCGUGAGAUGUUGGGUUAAGUCCCGCAACGAGCGCAACCCUUGUCCUGUGUUGCCACUCCGUAAGGAAGCACUCUCAGGAGACCGCCAGCGAUAAGUUGGAGGAAGGUGGGGAUGAUGUCAAGUCAUCAUGGCCUUUAUGUCCAGGGCUACACACGUGCUACAAUGGUCGGUACAAAGCGCUGCAAACCCGCGAGGGGGAGCCAAUCGCAAAAAGCCGGCCUCAGUUCGGAUUGCAGGCUGCAACUCGCCUGCAUGAAGCUGGAAUCGCUAGUAAUGCCGUAUCAGAAUGAUGGCGUGAAUACGUUCCCGGGCCUUGUACACACCGCCCGU
rnacentral:rRNA from 1 species